AGAGUUUGAUCCUGGCUCAGGAUGAACGCUAGCGACAGGCCUAACACAUGCAAGUCGAGGGGCAUCGGGGCUAGGAGCAAUCCUUGCCGCCGGCGACCGGCGCACGGGUGAGUAACGCGUAUGCGACCUGCCCGUUGCAGGGGGAUAAUCGGGAGAAAUCCCGUCUAAUACCGCGUAAUGCCGCGGGGCUGCAUGGCCCUGCGGCCAAAGGGAGCGAUUCCGGCAACGGAUGGGCAUGCGUGACAUUAGCUAGUUGGCGGGGCAACGGCCCACCAAGGCGACGAUGUCUAGGGGUUCUGAGAGGAAGGUCCCCCACACUGGUACUGAGACACGGACCAGACUCCUACGGGAGGCAGCAGUGAGGAAUAUUGGUCAAUGGGCGCGAGCCUGAACCAGCCAAGUCGCGUGAGGGAUGACGGCCCUACGGGUUGUAAACCUCUUUUGUCGGGGAGCAAAUUCCGUUACGUGUAACGGAGUCGAGAGUACCCGAAGAAAAAGCAUCGGCUAACUCCGUGCCAGCAGCCGCGGUAAUACGGAGGAUGCGAGCGUUAUCCGGAUUUAUUGGGUUUAAAGGGUGCGUAGGCGGACUGUCAAGUCAGCGGUAAAAUACGGGGGCUCAACCUCCGCCCGCCGUUGAAACUGACGGUCUUGAGUGGGCGAGAAGUAUGCGGAAUGCGUGGUGUAGCGGUGAAAUGCAUAGAUAUCACGCAGAACUCCGAUUGCGAAGGCAGCAUACCGGCGCCCAACUGACGCUGAAGCACGAAAGCGUGGGUAUCGAACAGGAUUAGAUACCCUGGUAGUCCACGCAGUAAACGAUGAAUACUAGCUGUCCGGGGCGAAUGAGCCCUGGGGUGGCACAGCGAAAGCGUUAAGUAUUCCUCCUGGGGCGUGCGCCGGCGCCGGUGGGCCUCCCUGGCGUUGGCGGGGGCCCGCUCCCGCGGUGGUCCUUGUGGUUUUGUUCGGUGGUGCGCGUGGUGCCUUCCCCGGGCUCUUUCGNCUCCGGGGCGUCCCUGUCCGGGUUCGGCUCUCCGGGGCCUGUGUCGGGGUGCUGCGUGGUUGUCGUCUGCUCGUGCCGUGCGGUGUCGGCUU
rnacentral:rRNA from 1 species